CCAGCCAAGGCCGCAAACCCUCUGCAACGUGAUCCUGUGUGCUUGCGGGGGGAAAAAGCAGGCAGGAAUAAGGAAAAGAAACUCCUCUCAAACCUUCCCAGAGGCCUGGGAGCUCCUCGGGAACACAUAAAGCGGCUGCUGUUAAUCCUUCACAAAGAAAAUGAGGGAAGCGCUGACGGCACCCAUUGGUUUUAAUUUUCGCGUUGGCCGUGGAAGAAAACUGAGUGUGGCCCAAACUUCAUCCUGAGCCUGUGGACACCUGACGCUGCCAGCAGAGCUGAGCAGCACAGGGAAGAAUUUAAAUGCCCUGCAUUUCAGUGCAUGGAAGCUGACUUCUGCAAAAAGCAGCAAAACAUCACCAAAAUGAACACACUGAGCUGCUCUUUCGAAGCAGCAAGAGAGCUCUGUGCACAGUGGCCAGAAGCAAGAACACUUCUGAGCUGAGUGCUCUCCAACCCGAGAAUGAGAAGAUGAUUCCCUCCCUCCAAAAUCUCACAUCAAGGAAAAAAUAAGCCUGUAUAACUUGGCAGGAAUCACUGUAAUCACAGCAUUUCUGCGACUGAGCUUAUAUCAAGUGACUUUUAUGCCAGUUCCUGAGGAGAAGAGAGUGCCUGUGAGAUAUCAGCAAUUUACCUGACACCCGUGAGACUUAUGAACAUUCCUAAUUCUUUUAGGAAGCUCAGAACAAGUAAUUUUGCAUUUUGGUGCUUAAAAUAAUUCCUAGGGUUAAGUGAAAUUCCUGCCUCCAUUAAAAAAAAAAAAAUUACUUUGUGAGAUGAAUUGGGGUUCUUUUCAAUGUUAAAAAAACCUGAUUUCCACCUGAGGAGGAAAUCAAGUUCCUGCCUGCAUAGACGACUCACUUGUGCACGUGCACACACAUAGAGACAAUUUCCCUCUCACUUUUAGUCCCACAUUUUGACUUAAAGGAGAAAGCUACCCAACAAAUAUAUAAACAAAUAGCAAACAUGUCA